UACGUAGGGACCGAGCGUUGUCCGGAUUCAUUGGGCGUAAAGAGCUCGUAGGCGGCCACUCAAGUCGAAUGUGAAACCUCGAGGCUCAACCUCGAGCCUGCAUUCGAUACUGGGCGGCUAGAGUCUGGUAGGGGGAUCUGGAAUUCCUGGUGUAGCGGUGGAAUGCGCAGAUAUCGAGAGGAACACCUGCGGCGAAGGCGGGUUGCUGGGCUGACACUGACGCUGAAGCGCGAAAGCUAGGGGAGCGAACGGG
rnacentral:rRNA from 1 species